UGCCGGCUUUUUGACUUCACACUGCGAUGGAUCGCUGUACACCUGCCUGGGCUCUGGGAUACUAACUGUGACCGGAGAUGUCUAGUGACAGCACAGCCACAGAGAUCUACAACCCCAUGGAGUGCUGACAGAUCUCAAUGUAACCUGACACUUUCAUACGUCGGGCUACAUAUCCCGUUAUCCCGCUGCUCAGACCCGUGUUUACCUGGAAGCCGGAAAAUGGCGAGCCCGACAAUUCACACCUGCUGCUAUGACUGCGUCCCUUGUUCAGAAGGAGAGAUAUCCAAUAUAACCGAUUCUGACAGCUGCAUUAAAUGCCAAAGUGAUGAAUGGCCUAAUGAGAAGAGAGACCGAU